GCAUUUAGGUUUCGGGCGGGCGGACGGGGGACGGCCCGAGUGAGGCGUCCUCCGAAGGCUGCGGGCCCGAAGCCAGAACUCCUUCCUCUCCGAAGACCUCGGGGGUGGGGCUCGCGCUUCCGCAGCGGGCCUAGAGCGAGAGGCAGGCGGCAGGUCAAGAGACUGCUCUCCUCCCCAAGCUAGGGGAACCUUCUGGGACUCCAUCAACUGACAAUGAGGGGAUAAUGGUCCCUCACUGCCCCAUCAGGAAAGGCUCAUGGGUGAUUGGGACCUUUGCUUGAAACCCAACUUACUGGCCAGGAACCUCAAGUUCUGGGACCAGGCGCCUUCCUCCCUCCCACUGUGCCAGAGGAGGGGAGACAAAAUCCCUCAAUGGCUGUCUAGCUCCAGGCAGAUCAGCUGCCACGGGGACUGCUGAGCAGGGAGAGGCUGUCGAUGCUGAGGCACGAGAGAAUUUGCUCCUGCUCCUCCAGAGAAAAUGGCUGGGACAGGCUGUUGAGGAAUAAUUCUGCAGGGAAAAGUGGAAGAUGGCUGUGAAAGACUGGGAGGAGGCUGGCUGUGUUUUCAGGGGUUCUUCCUGCACAGUCGGUAGAAGCUGAGCUGCUGGGGAAGGGGCUGGAAGAAAGCCCACACCGCAGGUAUCAGUAGCAAAUUCAAAAACUACAGAAUCAGCUCCAGAGGACUUUGUUAACAAGAAAGAGAAGAUUGAAAACAGCCCUGGGGCUACACCAACUCAAGAGCUCCCAGGCAAAGUGGCAUCCUGGACCCACCAUCUCUCCUACCCCAUCCUCAGUCGGUACUUCCCCAGGCACCGUUUGUUCUGGCAUGGGGCUAGUUCAGCCCUGGGACCACCCUCAUCCUUAUAACUACCAGCUGUCUUUGGUGAGGUGCAA
ensembl:lncRNA MAP3K14-AS1 MAP3K14 antisense RNA 1